AGAGUUUGAUCAUGGCUCAGAGUGAACGCUGGCGGUAGGCCUAACACAUGCAAGUCGAACGGCAGCACAGGAGAGCUUGCUCUCUGGGUGGCGAGUGGCGGACGGGUGAGGAAUACAUCGGAAUCUACUUUUUCGUGGGGGAUAACGUAGGGAAACUUACGCUAAUACCGCAUACGACCUACGGGUGAAAGCAGGGGAUCUUCGGACCUUGCGCGAUUGAAUGAGCCGAUGUCGGAUUAGCUAGUUGGCGGGGUAAAGGCCCACCAAGGCGACGAUCCGUAGCUGGUCUGAGAGGAUGAUCAGCCACACUGGAACUGAGACACGGUCCAGACUCCUACGGGAGGCAGCAGUGGGGAAUAUUGGACAAUGGGCGCAAGCCUGAUCCAGCCAUACCGCGUGGGUGAAGAAGGCCUUCGGGUUGUAAAGCCCUUUUGUUGGGAAAGAAAUCCAGCUGGUUAAUACCCGGUUGGGAUGACGGUACCCAAAGAAUAAGCACCGGCUAACUUCGUGCCAGCAGCCGCGGUAAUACGAAGGGUGCAAGCGUUACUCGGAAUUACUGGGCGUAAAGCGUGCGUAGGUGGUCGUUUAAGUCCGUUGUGAAAGCCCUGGGCUCAACCUGGGAACUGCAGUGGAUACUGGGCGACUAGAGUGUGGUAGAGGGUAGCGGAAUUCCUGGUGUAGCAGUGAAAUGCGUAGAGAUCAGGAGGAACAUCCAUGGCGAAGGCAGCUACCUGGACCAACACUGACACUGAGGCACGAAAGCGU
rnacentral:rRNA from 1 species